CGUACACUCCUACGGGAGGCAGCAGUGGGGAAUAUUGCACAAUGGGCGCAAGCCUGAUGCAGCCAUGCCGCGUGUAUGAAGAAGGCCUUCGGGUUGUAAAGUACUUUCAGCGGGGAGGAAGGCAAUACGGUUAAUAACCGUGUUGAUUGACGUUACCCGCAGAAGAAGCACCGGCUAACUCCGUGCCAGCAGCCGCGGUAAUACGGAGGGUGCAAGCGUUAAUCGGAAUUACUGGGCGUAAAGCGCACGCAGGCGGUCUGUCAAGUCGGAUGUGAAAUCCCCGGGCUCAACCUGGGAACUGCAUUCGAAACUGGCAGGCUUGAGUCUUGUAGAGGGGGGUAGAAUUCCAGGUGUAGCGGUGAAAUGCGUAGAGAUCUGGAGGAACACCGGUGGCGAAGGCGGCCCCCUGGACAAAGACUGACGCUCAGGUGCGAAAGCGUGGGGAGCAAACAGGAUUAGAUACCCCGGUAGUCCCAUGA
rnacentral:rRNA from 1 species